UACGUAGGGUGCAAGCGUUAAUCGGAAUUACUGGGCGUAAAGCGUGCGCAGGCGGUUUUGUAAGUCAGAUGUGAAAUCCCCGGGCUUAACCUGGGAACUGCGUUUGAAACUACAAGGCUAGAGUGUGACAGAGGGGGGUGGAAUUCCACGGUGUAGCAGUGAACUGCGUAGAGAUGUGGAGGAACACCGAUGGCGAAGGACAGCCCCCUGGGUUAACACUGACGCUCGAGGC
rnacentral:rRNA from 1 species